GUUUUAGUGAGAAACAACAUUUUAGCAAACAUAGAUAUUAUGAGAGAAAAUUUGGAAAGGGUUAACAUAAAAGGGUUUAGGUCUUAACACCGAUAGGUGUAAAAACAAUACAUUCGAAAAGAAGAUUCUCGUAGACGAAAGCUUAAUAUAAACCUAAACAUAACGUGACGCGAUCACGGUCAAGAAAAGUAAUGAGAGGUAUAACCACAGCCCGAGCAAUGGGUAUAAAGUAACUGGACUAAUAAGUCCAGUAAGUGAGACUGAUUAAGGUCAAAAUUCAAAUGUAAGAAUUGGAGUAAUACGCUAGUCAUUGCGAGAUUGGCAUGGAAUAAACAUACCUGAUAAAUUCAUAUGACCAAACGGACAAAGAGCGACACGGUCAAGUAUAUAAAGCAAAGGUAAACAUGUACAAACGGAAAUGAUGUUCCAUGGGACUUUGUUAACGAAGAGUAUUGAUCGCUUAUACUAAGCGAUCAUAAGGCAACACGAACGAAGUGUCGGAAAGCCAAAUCGAGCAAAAGCACGAUUGAAAGAUAAAGUUAUAAGGUAUGUGAUUAUAUGCUUAUGAGAAUUAUGAUAAUAACAUUUAUUAAACUAUCUUAAACAAUUAAGAUGAAAUUCAAGAAAUUCGGUUGCUCAUACGCGAUGAAUUCCGUAUAACUGAACCAAAUGAAUAAAUUCGAAAACGAAAGAAUUGUUGUUAAAAGUGAAAGAUUUCGCUAAAAUAUCCAAACAGAUUCACGAAGAAAUUUGGUAGUCUAACAGCGAUGGAUUUCGCUAAGUUAACCAAACUGGUUGAAAAUAACGAAAUUUCGUUAUUUUGAGUUUCAUUAUUCCGCAUAAAAUACGCAAAUGCUAUUAAUCAAAAAGGUAUUACCAUACUUUUCUGGUAACACCAACAAAAGGUUAAAACUGUGUAAGAAAGGUUUCGGGGGCGAAACCUUUUUAAGGGGGGUAGACUUGUAACACCUCGAAAACAGGUUUGGUAAUCAAACGACGUUAAUAUUUAUGAACGGGUGAAAUACCGUUAGUGGUGAAAUUAACCCGGUAAAUAUUAGGAUUUAAAUCAAUAAACCUGAUAUUAAAUUAAAAAGGGAAUAAAAGCUUUAGAGUAAAUAAAGUUUAUAAGAGGCCCGAGUUAAUGGAACUUAAAAUAAAACGGGAUUUAACUCCCCGAACCCAUUAAGUUAACUAGGAAUAAUUAACCUAGUUAGUAAUGAAUAAU
rnacentral:lncRNA from 1 species